AUUUCCGGUUCGCCCGGCCCAAACUUUAAUGAACAAAAUACUCUUUUGUCAUGGAGAUUGUGAUGUGGAGGCCUCCUGCUCGGGGCUUGCCGCCUCAUGGUCUGGUCCUGGUGUUCAUUAAAAGUUGCGCCACUGCCAGCAGAGGACUACCUGGCUGCGAAGCUGGAGGCAACCUGCUGCUCACCCUGAAGGAACCCUUUGUUCUGUUGAACACCAAGUAUUCAUGAGCGAUGUUUCACAAGCUGUGACCACCUGCCAGCAUCGGAGAGACACGUCCAAAAACAUCUGGCUUUCCAGAAAGCAUCCACAGCAUGUUCUCACUUGCCCAAAUGCGGCGGCAUCAUCAACCAAGAAAUCAAGUGAGCUUUUUCAGUGCCAAUGCAAAGCAACCAGUGAGUCAAUGCUGCACCCUAGUGGACAACUAAUAAAGAAGCAAUAGAUACCAAGUCAUGCAAUUUGGAUGACCAUUGUAUCUUGUACUGGUGAGUAAAAAUGUUUCACUUAUCAAGGGGAAAUAAUGUUUUGUUACUAUGCAGGGGUGGCCAAUCGUCGCCCAUUAUUGCUUUGGUUUGGAAUGUAAUUUAAUAUUUAUUAUUUUUACAUCAAUAAAAAGAAUCUUUUUCACUUCCUAGAUUAAAUUAGCCGUUGCU